CAGAGUGUAGCUAAAAUAGGAAAGCACCUCCCUUACGCCGAGAAGACAUCCGUGCAAAUCGGGUCACCCUGA
rnacentral:tRNA from 1 species